CUCUUGUUCAGCGGCAGACCAGGUUUAUUCAGAAAGGAGCAUCAAGUUCAGAUGAGUAUCCAAAGCUUCCACCUGUAUGUGAAAAUGAAACUAGAUUGAUCAAGAAUAUCAAGCAGCUUGAGAGUGCUUACUCCUCCAUGAGAUCCAAUAUUCAGCCGUCUGAUAAUGUUGCCAUGGUCCGUAGAACUGAAGAACUUUUUAACAAUCAGGAGAACUUUGUCUCGCCAGAAAAUGAUAAAGAGAAGUAUAGACCCACAGAUCGUCUUGGAGGUUUCUUUGAUGGCUUAUGCAAGUAUGGUCGGUAUAGCAAGUUCAGAGCAAGGGGAAUACUAAGAAAUGCAGAUCUGAAUAAUUUUGCAAAUGUCAUUUGUUCUCUGAGCUUUGACAGGGACGAGGAAUAUUUAGCUGCUGGUGGGGUGUCGAAGAAAAUUAAAGUAUUUGAGUAUCAUGCCCUCUUUAAUGAUUCUGUUGACAUUCAUUACCCAAUUAUUGAAAUGUCAAACAAAUCUAAGCUCAGCUGCAUUUGCUGGAACAACUAUAUCAGGAACUAUCUGG
rnacentral:misc_RNA from 1 species